rnacentral:lncRNA from 1 species
GCCUCGCAAGAGACCUCUCCAAAGACUUAAGUGACUCUGAAGAUGGCUGACCAGUGACAGCUCAAGAAAGGCGCCUUGGAACAAAACGCUCUGCAGGCAGCUUAGGCUUGAUAUGAGGGGGGCAUCUGAAAGAGUCCAGACUGAGCAUGGCCAGCAGAAUACAUGGGACCAUGAGAGAAGAGAGAGAAAGGAAGAGUGAGAGAGGAAGAGAAGAAAGGGGGAUACAAAAGAAGACCAAGAUGGCAAAGAGAACUAAGAAAGCAAAGAGCCAAACUGGUGAUUAUCCAUCUUGAGCUGUCAUCACCAUCAAGAUAACUGUCACCAUCAUCAUGACAGCUAUCACCACUACCACGGUCACCACUGUUAUCACCUCACCUCCGUCACCAUCAUCAUU